CCUUGAUGUGUAGGAUAGGUGGGAGGCUUUGAAGUGUGGACGCCAGUCUGCAUGGAGCCGUCCUUGAAAUACCACCCUUUAAUGGCUGGUGUUCUAACGUGGGCCCGUGAUCCGGGUUGCGGACAGUGUCUGGUGGGUAGUUUGACUGGGGCGGUCUCCUCCUAAAGAGUAACGGAGGAGCACGAAGGUCAGCUAAUCCUGGUCGGACAUCAGGAGGUUAGUGCAAUGGCAUAAGCUGGCUUGACUGCGAGCGUGACGGCGCGAGCAGGUGCGAAAGCAGGUCAUAGUGAUCCGGUGGUUCUGAAUGGAAGGGCCAUCGCUCAACGGAUAAAAGGUACUCCGGGGAUAACAGGCUGAUACCGCCCAAGAGUUCAUAUCGACGGCGGUGUUUGGCACCUCGAUGUCGGCUCAUCACAUCCUGGGGCUGAAGUAGGUCCCAAGGGUAUGGCUGUUCGCCAUUUAAAGUGGUACGCGAGCUGGGUUUAGAACGUCGUGAGACAGUUCGGUCCCUAUCUGCCGUGGGCGCUGGAGAAUUGAGGGGGGCUGCUCCUAGUACGAGAGGACCGGAGUGGACGCAUCACUGGUGUUCGGGUUGUCAUGCCAAUGGCAUUGCCCGGUAGCUAAAUGCGGAAGAGAUAAGUGCUGAAAGCAUCUAAGCACGAAACUUGCCCCGAGAUGAGUUCUCCCUGACUCCUUGAG
rnacentral:rRNA from 1 species